rnacentral:rRNA from 1 species
UACGGAGGGAGCUAGCGUUAUUCGGAAUUACUGGGCGUAAAGCGCACGUAGGCGGCUUUGUAAGUAAGAGGUGAAGGCCCAGAGCUCAACUCUGGAAUUGCCUUUUAGACUGCAUCGCUUGAAUCAUGGAGAGGUCAGUGGAAUUCCGAGUGUAGAGGUGAAAUUCGUAGAUAUUCGGAGGAACACCAGUGGCGAAGGCGGCUCACUGGUCCGGUACUGACGCUGAGGUGCGAAAGCGUGGGGAGCAAACAGG